CUGACAUCUGACUUGUUUGUGCAUGAACUGAGCAAAAUCACAAAAGAUUCAGGCGAUGAGUCCGCGUCAAGCUGUCUGCAUCUGGAUGAAGAUGCAAUGAGCACAUACUACAUUCCGGACCUGGUCCAAUCGGUCAAUUCUAGUAUUGAGGAUUUGAAUUCACGUGUAAUCCCAGAGCAGAGGAAUAUAGUGCAGAAAAUUUUGGAAAUCAAAGCUGAGGCCCUUAAGUUGAUCAACUUCAAGAGUACUGACGAGUAUUGCGGAAUGUCUACGUCUGAUGUGAAUGUCUCAGGAUUUUUGUUUACAACCUCUGAAUUGCUAGAACUCAUAGAACUACUUUCGAUGGCCUACAUUAAGGAGUAUGAAAUGCGGACAGUGAUUUUCGAUGAAUUAUUAAAAAAAAAACCUAAAAAUUUAAGCACUUAUGCGCUGAUAAUAAAAAUAGCGCCCUACAUUAGCAAUCCAAUAUUCGAUAAAAUAAAAAACGUCAUAUCAAACUAAGAUUAGACCGUUGAUUUUCAGUGGGGGAAAGUCUCUUCAAGAUCGUACCGUCAGGAGGCGCGUAAGUGUUCAUAUAAACGUUCAUGAAGGAAGUUGCGAAAUUCGACCGCAAUUAAGAUAGACGUGCUCGGAUUUCGUGGAUCUUGGGUUGACGGGGGAUUUACAGCGCUCGGCGCGCUCAGCGACGUCGGCAAAUUUUGCAGGCCAGAGAAGACUUUUUUUUUUUUUUAUGAUUUAAUAUUCUAUUAGAAUGUCCAUUGCCUCUUCUAUUGUCCGAGCCCUUCUUUUUGCUCGCGGCUGUGUUUGAAACCCUAUAAGUUGUUCG